CCUACGGGAGGCAGCAGUGGGGAAUUUUGGACAAUGGGCGAAAGCCUGAUCCAGCAAUGCCGCGUGAGUGAAGAAGGCCUUCGGGUUGUAAAGCUCUUUUGUCAGGGAAGAAACGGUGAGAGCUAAUAUCUCUUGCUAAUGACGGUACCUGAAGAAUAAGCACCGGCUAACUACGUGCCAGCAGCCGCGGUAAUACGUAGGGUGCAAGCGUUAAUCGGAAUUACUGGGCGUAAAGCGUGCGCAGGCGGUUUUGUAAGUCUGAUGUGAAAUCCCCGGGCUCAACCUGGGAAUUGCAUUGGAGACUGCAAGGCUAGAAUCUGGCAGAGGGGGGUAGAAUUCCACGUGUAGCAGUGAAAUGCGUAGAUAUGUGGAGGAACACCGAUGGCGAAGGCAGCCCCCUGGGUCAAGAUUGACGCUCAUGCACGAAAGCGUGGGGAGCAAACAGGAUUAGAUACCCUGGUAGUCCACGCCCUAAACGAUGUCUACUAGUUGUCGGGUCUUAAUUGACUUGGUAACGCAGCUAACGCGUGAAGUAGACCGCCUGGGGAAGUCGGUCGCAAGNUUAAAACUNAANAGAGAGAGNGNGAGAGNGCGAGGACGACGACGAGGGAGAGG
rnacentral:rRNA from 1 species